UACGUAGGGUGCGAGCGUUGUCCGGAAUUAUUGGGCGUAAAGAGCUUGUAGGCGGUUUGUCGCGUCUGCUGUGAAAAUCCGGGGCUCAACCCUGGACUUGCAGUGGGUACGGGCAGACUAGAGUGUGGUAGGGGAGACUGGAAUUCCUGGUGUAGCGGUGAAAUGCGCAGAUAUCAGGAGGAACACCGAUGGCGAAGGCAGGUCUCUGGGCCACUACUGACGCUGAGAAGCGAAAGCAUGGGGAGCGAACAGG
rnacentral:rRNA from 1 species